rnacentral:rRNA from 1 species
UACGGGGGGGGCAAGCGUUGUUCGGAAUUACUGGGCGUAAAGGGCUCGUAGGCGGCCAACUAAGUCAGACGUGAAAUCCCUCGGCUUAACCGGGGAACUGCAUCUGAUACUGGAUGGCUUGAGUUCGGGAGAGGGAUGCGGAAUUCCAGGUGUAGCGGUGAAAUGCGUAGAUAUCUGGAGGAACACCAGCGGCGAAGGCGGUGCUCUGGGCCGGAACUGACGCUGAGGAGCGAAAGCGUGGGUAGCGAACAGG